UGGGGGAUAUUGCACAAUGGGGGAAACCCUGAUGCAGCGACGCCGCGUGAGUGAAGAAGCAUUUCGGUGUGUAAAGCUCUAUCAGCAGGGAAGAAGAAUGACGGUACCUGACUAAGAAGCCCCGGCUAACUACGUGCCAGCAGCCGCGGUAAUACGUAGGGGGCAAGCGUUAUCCGGAUUUACUGGGUGUAAAGGGAGCGUAGACGGCGGUGCAAGUCCGAUGUGAAAACCCAGGGCUCAACCCUGGGAUUGCAUUGGAAACUGUAUAGCUGGAGUGCAGGAGAGGUAAGCGGAAUUCCUGGUGUAGCGGUGAAAUGCGUAGAUAUCAGGAGGAACACCAGUGGCGAAGGCGGCUUACUGGACUGUAACUGACGUUGAGGCUCGAAAGCGUGGGGAGCAAACAGG
rnacentral:rRNA from 1 species